rnacentral:lncRNA from 1 species
CAAUGUUAUAUGACGUCUUUUCGAGCCAUGCUUUUAGUCAUGUUAUUAUCAUGUGAUAGUUCAUCAAGCUUGGUUUUGUAUGCAGUGUCCUGAUAUUAACUGGUUCAUUUCUUUUUGGUUUCCUCUUCUAACAGAGGCUUAGAGCAAUCCCGGAAGUCGACAUGCAUUUGGCUCCUCCUGGUAGCAGGUAUGGGGUUUCGGUGCUAGAGAUUUUUGUGUGGUUCUGGUGCCUUUCGAGUUGCUUGCAUGUUUUGUUAGUGUUGGUGUAGUAUGUAAUUCUGAAGUAGACAAUCACGUUUAAUAUUGUAGGUGAUGGCUGGAGCUGCUCACCCAGCAUCAGUGGGUGGAGCUGUUGGGUGUUGUGAGGGAGGGUUGAAUGGAUGCUGGAGUCCAGCAGGAGUUAGAUUAAAUGGUAUUAGUCUCUCUUCUUACUUAACUCUCCUGAAAGAAAGAUUUGGAAGGGUUGUAUGGAGUCUGGUGAGAUGUUUGUUUGUCUUUUUGUAUGACAAAUGGAUGGUGUAUUUUUGACAUUGUUAAGUUUUUCUUAUGGUAGGUGGGGAUCAUAAGCAGCAAUGUGUUAUAACUAAAUAUUACUCUA